CUUCGUCAGGUGACCUAUAAACAGUCUUCAUCAGGUGACCUAUACAUAGUCUUCGUCAGGUGACCUAUAAACAGCCUUCGUCAGGUGACCUAUAAACAGCCUUCGUCAGGUGACCUAUAAACAGCCUUCGUCAGGUGACCUAUAAACAGCCUUCGUCAGGUGACCUAUAAACAGCCUUCGUCAGGUGACCUAUAAACAGCCUUCGUCAGGUGACCUAUAAACAGCCUUCGUCAGGUGACCUAUAAACAGUCUUCGUCAGGUGACCUAUAAACAGCCUUCGUCAGGUGACCUAUAAACAGCCUUCGUCAGGUGACCUAUACACAGUCUUCGUCAGGUGACCUAUAAACAGCCUUCGUCAGGUGACCUAUAAACAGCCUUCGUCAGGUGACCUAUAAACAGCCUUCGUCAGGUGACCU